rnacentral:rRNA from 1 species
AGUGAACGCUGGCGGUAGGCCUAACACAUGCAAGUCGAACGGCAGCACAGUAAGAGCUUGCUCUUACGGGUGGCGAGUGGCGGACGGGUGAGGAAUACAUCGGAAUCUACUUUUUCGUGGGGGAUAACGUAGGGAAACUUACGCUAAUACCGCAUACGACCUACGGGUGGAAGCAGGGGAUCUUCGGACCUUGCGCGAUUGAAUGAGCCGAUGUCGGAUUAGCUAGUUGGCGGGGUAAAGGCCCACCAAGGCGACGAUCCGUAGCUGGUCUGAGAGGAUGAUCAGCCACACUGGAACUGAGACACGGUCCAGACUCCUACGAGAGGCAGCAGUGGGGAAUAUUGGACAAUGGGCGCAAGCCUGAUCCAGCCAUACCGCGUGGGUGAAGAAGGCCUUCGGGUUGUAAAGCCCUUUUGUUGGGAAAGAAAAGCAGCAGGUUAAUACCCCGCUGUUCUGACGGUACCCAAAGAAUAAGCACCGGCUAACUUCGUG